AGCAGCCGCGGUAAUUCCAGCUCCAAUAGCGUAUAUUAAAGUUGUUGCAGUUAAAAAGCUCGUAGUUGAAUUUCGGGGUUAGUAGUUUGGUCGUGCCAAUGGUAUGUACUGGGCUCACUGAUUCCUCCUUCCUGAUGAACUGUAAUGCCAUUAAUUUGGUGUUGCAGGGAAACAGGACUGUUACUUUGAAAAAAUUAGAGUGUUUAAAGCAAGCUAACGCUUGAAUACAUUAGCAUGGAAUAAUGAAAUAGGACGUUCGAACCUAUUUUGUUGGUUUCUAGGAUUGACGUAAUGAUUAAUAGGGAUAGUUGGGGGCAUUAGUAUUCAAUUGUCAGAGGUGAAAUUCUUGGAUUUAUUGAAGACUAACUACUGCGAAAGCAUUUGCCAAGGAUGUUUUCAUUAAUCAAGAACGAAAGUUAGGGGAUCGAAGACGAUCAGAUACCGUCGUAGUCCUAACCAUAAACUAUGCCGACUAGGGAUCGGAUGAUGUUAAUUUUUA
rnacentral:misc_RNA from 1 species